rnacentral:rRNA from 1 species
UACGUAGGGCGCAAGCGUUGUCCGGAAUUAUUGGGCGUAAAGAGCUCGUAGGCGGUCUGUCGCGUCGGAUGUGAAAGCCCGAGGCUCAACCUCGGAACUGCCUUCGAUACUGCGGGUCUCGAGUUCGGGAGAGGGAAGCGGAAUUCCGGGUGUAGCGGUGAAAUGCGUAGAUAUCCGGAGGAACGACCGGUGGCGAAGGCGGCUUCCU